AGGAGGUCCGGAGGUCGCUCGGACAAACUCAGUCAGAAUCAGGACUAGGAAAGACAGAGAAGUGGUGGCAGGCUCUCCUCUUCCGAUUCCCCAAUGAAACCAAGAUCCGAAGGCCACCACUUGGCAAAAUCGUGAAAGAUCCAGAAGAAACUAUGGCAAGGAAAUUUCUCCCACUAACCAUGAAAAUCAUAGAUAUUAGAUUGACAGGACAAGCCUGAAAAAGGGAAGGGGCAGAGAAGAGAUUAGAAAGAAACCAAGAUCAUUUUGAUUGAAGGAACUUAAGAGGAAGACAUGAGUAAGUGGAACCAGAAAUCCCAACAGCAGCAGCAAACUACACCUUUAUAACCUAUAGGGGCAGCUGGAAGAAGACCUGAACUUUGAAUCAGGAGGGUUGAGUUCUAGUCACA